AUUGAACGCUGGCGGCAGGCCUAACACAUGCAAGUCGAGCGGAUGAAGGGAGCUUGCUCCUGGAUUCAGCGGCGGACGGGUGAGUAAUGCCUAGGAAUCUGCCUGGUAGUGGGGGAUAACGUCCGGAAACGGGCGCUAAUACCGCAUACGUCCUGAGUGAGAAAGUGGGGGAUCUUCGGACCUCACGCUAUCAGAUGAGCCUAGGUCGGAUUAGCUAGUUGGUGGGGUAACGGCCUACCAAGGCGACGAUCCGUAACUGGUCUGAGGGGAUGAUCAGUCACACUGGAACUGAGACACGGUCCAGACUCCUACGGGAGGCAGCAGUGGGGAAUAUUGGACAAUGGGCGAAAGCCUGAUCCAGCCAUGCCGCGUGUGUGAAGAAGGUCUUCGGAUUGUAAAGCACUUUAAGUUGGGAGGAAGGGAAGUAAGUUAAUACCUUGCUGUUUUGACGUUACCAACAGAAUAAGCACCGGCUAACUUCGUG
rnacentral:rRNA from 1 species